rnacentral:misc_RNA from 1 species
CCUGUUUGUUUGCUUGGCAGAGAGCGGAGCACACCCUCUUUCCUGAGUUCACGAUGGCGAGCAGCAGCCCAGAACUCCCCGUGACCGAAGCACGAGCCUCCAUUGUGCGCAUGAUCCGCAAGAACAAAGCCGUCAUCGUCGUUGGCGAGACCGGAUCGGGCAAGACGACGCAGAUUCCGCAGUACGUGUGGGACGAUAUCCUGAGUAAGCGGCCUGGUGGUGGCAUAGUAGGGUGCACGCAGCCGCGCCGUGUCGCGGCCGUCAGCAUUGCACGGCACGUUGCUCGGCAACGCGGCGGAAAAGUCGGCGGCGAAGUGGCCUACGCUGUCCGCUUCGAUGACACGUGCACCAGCGCCACACGCAUCAAGUUUCUCACGGACGGCAUUCUGCUGCGUGAGAUUCAGGCUGACCCUGUGCUGUCUAAGUACGGCUGCAUCAUCCUCGAUGAGGCCCACGAGCGCACGUUGCAUGGAGACGUGCUCUUUGGCCUGCUGAAGACGAUCGCGCGUCAGCGCGAGGACUCGCUGAAGAUCGUGGUCAUGUCCGCUACGCUGAACGCGGAGCACUUUUCGAAGUUUUGGUGGGACGCCCCAAUCGGCGUCGUGCAUGGCCGCAUGUUUCCGGUGACCAUCAUGCACACGGUGGAGCCGCAGGCGGACUACGUCGAGGCAGCUAUUAGCGCCAUCCUGCUGAUCCACCAGACGGAGCCGCCUGGCGAUGUUCUGUGUUUCCUGACGGGUCAGGAAGAAGUCGAGGACGCGAAGCGCAUUCUGCUGGAGCGCAUGAAGCUGCUGCCCAACGACGUGCCGGACUUCUCAGUUCUGACCCUGUACGCCGCGAUGCCGUACGAGCAGCAGCUGCUUGUCUUUGAGCCAAGCCUGAACGAGCAGCGCAAGGUGAUCCUCGCCACCAACAUCGCUGAGACAUCCAUCACGGUGGAGGGUAUCCGCUACGUCGUGGACAGCGGCGUGGUGAAGGCGAAGUACUACAAUAGCAAGUCCGGGAUGGAGAUGCUGACGGAGGUGGACAUCAGCCGCGCGCAGGCCACGCAGCGCACGGGGCGCGCCGGUCGCGUGGCAGCUGGCAAGUGCUACCGCCUCUACACCGCCAACGCGUUUGAGAAUCUGAGCGAGAACACGAUUCCAGAAAUACGCCGAAGUAGUUUGCUCAGCGUUGUGCUUCAAAUGAAAAGCCUCCACAUCCACAAUAUCCUUGCGUUCGAAUUCAUGGACAUGCCUCGCCCGCGCGCUGUCGCGAAGGCGGAAGAGACGCUGAUGCUGCUGCAAGCCCUCGACAAGGCGGGCCACAUCACGGCCCUGGGCGCCCGUCUGACGGACUUUCCGAUUGAACCGAUGCCCGCGAUGGUUCUCUUGGCCGCGAAGGCCUUCGGCGUUGCCCGUGAGGCUGUUAUCGUGAUUGCCAUGGCCAGCACUGACAACCUCUUUCUCACCUCGCGCGAGUUCAAGGAGUCUGCUGACCGCUGCCGCGCCGCCUUUGCCAAGUCUGCCGGCGAUCACGCGACGCUCCUUAGCAUCUACCAGGCGUACUGCCGCUCGCCGCGCGACCAGCGCAAGACGUGGUGUGAGUCCAACGCCAUGAGCCACCGGCAAAUGCUAAAGGUCGAGGACGUCAUUACCCAGCUGCAAAGCAUUUUGGAAGAGAAGAACGACAGUGAGCUACUCGCCAAGAUUAUCCCCGCCUCUCUGCGGUACCUGCGAGUGGGCGCUGGUGGUGAUUUGUCUAAUCUGCCGCACAAGCGCCCCCGGGACGAAGGCGGUGAUGACGCCAGCGAUCUGCUGGAGCGCUACGAAGAGCUGCGGCACGGCGGCGGUGGGUUGUCUACCGGAUCAACCGAGCGCAAGGGGAAACUGCUUGACGCAGAACUGCUGCGUCGUGCUCUCUGUUUUGGCUACUUCCUGAACGCCGCCUUCUACAACGCGAAACUAGGCAUGUACCAGACCAUCGUUGGGCAGUUGCCGGUGUACAUCCACCCUUCCAGCGUCCUCUUUACCCACCGCAAGAAGCCUGCUUUGGUGAUCUUUAACAGCGUCGUGCGCACCACGAAGCGAUACAUGAAGGACGUGUCGGUGGUGCAAGAGGAGUGGCUGCAGGACGCCGCGCCAGAUUUUCUGACGGCGGCCUCGUAGCGCACGCUCGGCGGGUUCGGUGCACACGAAAUAUGCGCCUGCACGCCAUCCGUGUUGGCAAUGCCAACACGAUCGUCAAAGCGUUGUUGCAUGUUUGCCGGCGUCUGUGUCGCAGGCGCGCGGCGCGCACACACGGCGUGUGCGCAUUGGUGGCUGUGCUCUGCUCGUGUUGGUCUUCUGUUUUUUCUUUUUGUUUGUUUCGAUUAACACGCGUCUAAGACACUCGCAGAAAACAUCUUCUUUGGUCAAGGCAUCUGCUCGCUGCCACCGCCCAUGAGCUCAGCGCCACUCGAUUUCCCCCUCCCUCCCUCCCCCACGGCCGCUCCUCCCAUCAUGCCAGGUCGCCACGGGGUGCAUCCCCCUCGAGGUGGCCACUCCGGCUUCUCCAAACCGAGAGGUGGGGUAGGGGAGGGGCACCGGAGCGUGUGUGAUAUGCCACCACGCACUAAGGGGUGCGUCCCUUCCCCUCAUCCCCCGUCGUCAUUAUUGGAUGAGCAUAGCGCAGGGAGAAGGCGAACAGAAAAAAGAAAGAGGUCAAGUGCGCAGUGCUUGCCCAACCGAACAACGGGCACACGAAAAACAAGUUGAGGGCAAAAGCCUUGAUACAGUCGCUAAAAUAGAGCAUCAUGUCCUUUUUCUGGGUGUUCUGUGUUACGUGAAACCCACAGAGGCCGUGGCGCGGCCAUGGCAUCUCUUGUGUAUGUGUGUGUGUGUGUACAAGAGAGAG